rnacentral:snoRNA from 1 species
CGUCAAUGAUUAUAGACAUAUUUGCUACUCCUCAUUGAGUUCUGUACUCAUGACGACACACAUAUAUCACCAAGAUCGAUGAGACG